UUUAAUGAAAGAUUAAAUUUUUAAUUUUUGUUUGAAUAUCAUAAUGAAUAUUAAAAUUAUUGGCGGUAUUAAAUUAAAUUCUGAGGAACUUGUUUAUUUAAAUUGAUAAUACUCAUUAAAUUUUAUCUAAAUAAAUUUUUAUGUAUUGCUGUUUUAUUUAUUAUUUGAAAUUAAAAUGAAUAAAAUAAUUUAUGAAUAAGAAGUUAAAAGAUCAAGUCAAAAUGUAGAUUUUUUUAGGUAUAGAUGAGUUACUAUUAUUAAGGAAAUUGAAGCAGAAGAUUUAAUGAAAAUUUAUGGGAAGUUGGAUUAGGAGGUAAAAAAAUAUUAGUAAGGUUUUUUGAUAAGUUUGUUGAUAUGUACAUAUCGCCCGUCGCUUAGAAAUUUUUAAAUUUUUA
rnacentral:rRNA from 1 species